rnacentral:lncRNA from 1 species
GGUGCCAACCCCUUGGAGUGGCAUGAGGAAGAGAGAGGGGCCCGCCCCUCUCUUGUCUUGGUGUGGAAGGAGAGAGAGAGGGGCCACACCCCCUCUCUUGUGUGCAAAACCCUAAAAGGGGUGCCAUUGUGUGCGAAACCCUAGAAGGGGCGCCAAGAGUUGGUGCCCCAACUACUUGCCUCUUUAGUUAAGGGGCCCCU